rnacentral:rRNA from 1 species
GGCUCAGACAGCCAGGAUGUUGGCUUAGAAGCAGCCAUCAUUUAAAGAAAGCGUAAUAGCUCACUGGUCGAGUCGGCCUGCGCGGAAGAUGUAACGGGGCUAAGUAGUAAACCGAAGCUGCGGCAAUGUGCUUUUGCACAUUGGGUAGGGGAGCGUUCUGUAAGCGGUUGAAGGUGUGUGGUAACGCAUGCUGGACGUAUCAGAAGUGCGAAUGCUGACAUGAGUAACGAUAAAGGGGGUGAAAAACCUCCUCGCCGGAAGACCAA